rnacentral:rRNA from 1 species
AGUGAACGCUGGCGGUAGGCCUAACACAUGCAAGUCGAACGGCAGCACAGUAAGAGCUUGCUCUUACGGGUGGCGAGUGGCGGACGGGUGAGGAAUACAUCGGAAUCUACUUUUUCGUGGGGGAUAACGUAGGGAAACUUACGCUAAUACCGCAUACGACCUACGGGUGAAGGCAGGGGAUCUUCGGAUCUUGCGCGAUUGAAUGAGCCGAUGUCGGAUUAGCUAGUUGGCGGGGUAAAGGCCCACCAAGGCGACGAUCCGUAGCUGGUCUGAGAGGAUGAUCAGCCAAACUGGAACUGAGACACGGUCCAGGCUCCUAAGGGAGGCGGCAGUGGGGAAUAUUGGACAAUGGGCGCAAGCCUGAUCCAGCCAUACCGCGUGGGUGAAGAAGGCCUUCGGGUUGUAAAGCCCUUUUGUUGGGAAAGAAAAGCAGCAGGUUAAUACCUCGCUGUUCUGACGGUACCCAAAGAAUAAGCACCGGCUAACUUCGUG